GGCUCCGCCUCCGGCCCGCCUCCCUCCCCCACCCCCCGCCCGGCUGCCCCGCACCCCGACUCGGGGGGCCACUCGCACCCGGCAUCUCCGGUAUCCCGGUGCGCCUUAGCCCCGUGGGUGGCCGCCGCCCCGCGCGCGGCUGCCGACAGGAGCCGGCUCCCAGGCGCUUCCCUCCCACCCAGUCACCAACACUGCGUUUCAGGGGACACGCUGGCAUGGGCGACACCCGGACCCCCACCCCACCCCCUUUCCAGUCCGUGACUUAAGAUGUACGGGAAGGGCUUUCUCCGGCGGAACCUGAGCCGGCGCUGCCACGCUACCCCGAUGGCUGAAAGCUGCUCCCAGACUUCCACCCAGCUCGCCCGCCCUUGCUGGAAUGCAGGCCUGGAGCUUUCUCUGCAGCCCGGAUCCCUGCCCGGUUCUUGCGGAGUCGAGAGGCUCGGAGGUCCCCUAGACUAGAAUAUUCGGUGCUGCCGGAAAGGCGACGACCCUUCCUUUUCUGUUGAACAAAGAGAGAAACGCUAGUUGAAUGAAGGAAUAAACAAACGAGUUUGA